GGGGAAUAUUGCGCAAUGGGGGGAACCCUGACGCAGCAACGCCGCGUGAAGGAAGAAGGCCUUCGGGUCGUAAACUUCUGUCUUUAGGGACGAUAAUGACGGUACCUAAGGAGGAAGCCGCGGCUAACUACGUGCCAGCAGCCGCGGUAAUACGUAGGUGGCGAGCGUUGUCCGGAAUUACUGGGCGUAAAGGGUGCGUAGGCGGAUAUUUAAGUCAGAUGUGAAAUUCCAAAGCUCAACUUUGGAAUUGCAUUUGAAACUGGGUAUCUAGAGUGCAGGAGAGGAAAGCGGAAUUCCUAGUGUAGCGGUGAAAUGCGUAGAUAUUAGGAAGAACACCAGUGGCGAAGGCGGCUUUCUGGACUGUAACUGACGCUGAGGCACGAAAGCGUGGGGAGCAAAC
rnacentral:rRNA from 1 species